rnacentral:lncRNA from 1 species
UCAAAGUGUGUCUCAGAUCUGAAAAACCUGCAAAUACAAAAAAACAUUCAAAUGGCUUCAAAACAUAGAAAAAAUUUCAAAAAUAUAAUUGUAUGUUAAAUAAUAAACAAAACAGUCACAUUAAGUUGAAUCUAUAGCGUUUUUAGAAUCUAAUAUAUAAAUCACACAAUAAUACAUAUCCAAAACUUAUAGAUCUACCUUUGAAAGAGUGAAAGAUGAGAACUAUGUAAUGAAAAAUCUGCAAAAAAAAGAUAAAUUAGUGAGAAAACAUAAGAAAGAAAUGAGAAAUGGAUUUAAAGUUUGGUGUUUUAAUGUUCAAAGAGAUUAUAUAGAGGUUGAAGAGUUUUAGAGUGAGAAACAUUACAUUUUUGUUGCAGCCAUUUGAGAAGAAGAAAGAGAAUGUGUAAAUUUUCUUUAUAUUUGGAGGCAAAAAUUCCAAUUAGGUUAAAUAUUUUUGAUACAGUCUUUUAAACCCUAAAAUCAAAUACACGAGAAGACUUCUCGAAGAGUUCGCUUUAGGCAAGAAACAUAAAUUCCACUAAAAUUUAGGCGGUAAUAUGUUAGAAGUCUUCUGGAAGUCUUCCUGAGAAGUGUUCUAGAAGUUUUCCAAACCAUAACCUAAUCAAAUAACUAACUAAAUAGCAAAACAUAACUCAUGAAACUUAAAAUCAACUUAUAAAACAUUUAAUAUACACAAAACUAAACAGGCAAAUUUAUUUUUUAAAAAGUUAAGAUUCUAAAAUCAAACACUAAAUACAAACAAUAUUAUAACAUAUGUUACUAAACCCUAAACCAAAGUCUUCUCGGAGUCUUCCAGACCCUAUAAUCAAAUAACUAAGCAAAAACACUCUCUUAAAGUUAAAAGAAACUUAGAAAGUGUUUAAAUCAAGUAAUUAGAUAGUCAAUAAACACAUAUAUGUCUAACUAAAUAAAUAAAUAAAAAUAUGAUAUUUCAAAAUCUAACCCUAAAAA